AGACUUUGAUCCUGGCUCAGAUUGAACGCUGGCGGCAUGCUUUACACAUGCAAGUCGAACGGUAACAGGUCUUCGGGAUGCUGACGAGUGGCGAACGGGUGAGUAAUGCAUCGGAACGUGCCCAGUCGUGGGGGAUAACGCAGCGAAAGCUGUGCUAAUACCGCAUACGAUCUGCGGAUGAAAGCGGGGGACCUUCGGGCCUCGCGCGAUUGGAGCGGCCGAUGUCAGAUUAGGUAGUUGGUGGGGUAAAGGCUCACCAAGCCAACGAUCUGUAGCUGGUCUGAGAGGACGACCAGCCACACUGGGACUGAGACACGGCCCAGACUCCUACGUGAGGCAGCAGUGGGGAAUUUUGGACAAUGGGCGCAAGCCUGAUCCAGCAAUGCCGCGUGCAGGAAGAAGGCCUUCGGGUUGUAAACUGCUUUUGUACGGAACGAAAAGCUCUGGGUUAAUACCCU
rnacentral:rRNA from 1 species